rnacentral:pre_miRNA from 1 species
UCACCUGGCAUCUUGCUGUCGUCCUUCUCUUCAGAUGGCAGCAUGAUGCCAGGGCAG